UAUCCCAGGUGUGUCACACCUGUCCCCAGGUGUCCCCAGGUGUAUUUACCGUCCUCGGUGGGCACGUAGAGGUUCAGGUAGAGGCAAUCCUCGCUCUGUGACACCCCACACCCACACCCAGGUGUGUCCCAUCCAUCCCCAGGUGUGUCACACCUGUCCCCAGGUGUAUUUACCGUCCUCGGUGGGCACGUAGAGGUUCAGGUACAGACAAUCCUCGCUCUGUGACACCCCACACUCACACCCAGGUGUGUCCCAUCCCUCCCCAGGUGUACC